AAUACAUUUAGCAGCCGCCGCCGCAGUCGCAACAAAAAGGAAACGACGAUGACAAUGUAAAAAGAGGCAUGCAGUCGGAGGCAAAGCAAAGGCAGCAGCAGAAAAAUGUGUCUCAGAUGAAGAAGAAUACGGCUAAGAAUUCUUCGUCGUCGUCGUCGCGAGAACGAUAAUAAAGCGAAUGCGAAUGCAAAGACACAGCGCCAG